CGGGGUGUGGCGCAGUUGGUAGCGCACAGCGUUUGGGACGCUGGGGUCGCUGGUUCGAAUCCAGUCACCCCGACCA
rnacentral:tRNA from 1 species